AUAUCAAUAAGCGGAGGAAAAGAAACCAACAGGGAUUGCCUUAGUAACGGCGAGUGAAGCGGCAAUAGCUCAAAUUUGAAAUCUGGCCUUCUGGUCCGAAUUGUAAUUUGUAGAGGAUGCUUUGAAUAUUGCCUUGGUCUAAGUUCCUUGGAACAGGAUGUCAUAGAGGGUGAGAAUCCCGUAUGCGACCAGGUGUCAUUAUUCAUGUAAAGCUCCUUCAACGAGUCGAGUUGUUUGGGAAUGCAGCUCAAAAUGGGUGGUAAAUUUCAUCUAAAGCUAAAUACUGGCUAGAGACCGAUAGCGCACAAGUAGAGUGAUCGAAAGAUGAAAAGCACUUUGGAAAGAGAGUUAAAUAGUACGUGAAAUUGUUGAAAGGGAAGCGCUUGCAAUCAGACUUGCAUGCAGUUGAUCAUCCGAUGUUCUCACCGGUGCACUCAAUUGCAUUCAGGCCAGCAUCGGUUUUGGUGGUUGGAUAAAGACCUUGGGAAUGUGGCUCCCUUCGGGGAGUGUUAUAGCCUAAGGUGCAAUGCAGCCUACUGGGACCGAGGACCGCGCUUUGGCUAGGAUGCUGGCGUAAUGGUUGUAAGCGA
rnacentral:rRNA from 1 species